AGACUCAGUUGGGGGCGAAAGCAACAUAAAACUUUAAAAAUUAUAUACCAUAUUGAUCAAUAGCAAUACAAAAGUAAGGAAUAAAUUUGAUGUUUCCACAGAAUCAAAAAGUUAUAAUAAGAAUAAAACUUAAUCUCAAAUUAGAAAAGUUACCUGUUGAGUAAUCAAAUAUGGAGGAGCUGAGCACGGAGAAAGACGGACGGUGAAGAACCUGAGGAGGAGAAAUAGGAGAAGGCUUGAUGGCCUGUGGCGUGUUAGUGACCCAUUAGAGAAAUUUGGGCCGACAGAAGCCCAAUAUUGUAGGUUUUAAAUUGGAAGUAUCUUCGUUAAACUGAAAAUUGAACCAG
rnacentral:lncRNA from 1 species